rnacentral:rRNA from 1 species
UAAUACAUGCAAGUCGAACGAGACCUUCGGGUCUAGUGGCGCACGGGUGCGUAACGCGUGGGAAUCUGCCCUUGGGUUCGGAAUAACGUUUGGAAACGAACGCUAAUACCGGAUGAUGACGAAAGUCCAAAGAUUUAUCGCCCAGGGAUGAGCCCGCGUAGGAUUAGCUAGUUGGUGAGGUAAAGGCUCACCAAGGCGACGAUCCUUAGCUGGUCUGAGAGGAUGAUCAGCCACACUGGGACUGAGACACGGCCCAGACUCCUACGGGAGGCAGCAGUAGGGAAUAUUGGACAAUGGGGGCAACCCUGAUCCAGCAAUGCCGCGUGAGUGAUGAAGGCCUUAGGGUUGUAAAGCUCUUUUACCCGGGAUGAUAAUGACAGUCCGGGAGAAUAAGCCCCGGCUAACUCCGUGCCAGCAGCCGCGGUAAUAC